GUGAACGCUGGCGGCGUGCCUAAUACCUGCAAGUCGCGCGCACGGACGAGAAGCUUGCUUCUCUGAUGUUAGCGGCGGACGGGUGAGUAACACGUGGAUAACCUACCUAUAAGACUGGGAUAACUUCGGGAAACCGGAGCUAAUACCGGAUAAUAUUUUGAACCGCAUGGUUCAAAAGUGAAAGACGGUCUUGCUGUCACUUAUAGAUGGAUCCGCGCUGCAUUAGCUAGUUGGUAAGGUAACGGCUUACCAAGGCAACGAUGCAUAGCCGACCUGAGAGGGUGAUCGGCCACACUGGAACUGAGACACGGUCCAGACUCCUACGGGAGGCAGCAGUAGGGAAUCUUCCGCAAUGGGCGAAAGCCUGACGGAGCAACGCCGCGUGAGUGAUGAAGGUCUUCGGAUCGUAAAACUCUGUUAUUAGGGAAGAACAUAUGUGUAAGUAACUGUGCACAUCUUGACGGUACCUAAUCAGAAAGCCACGGCUAACUACGUG
rnacentral:rRNA from 1 species